rnacentral:rRNA from 1 species
AGCAGUCGCCGCGGUAAUACGUAGGUCCCGAGCGUUGUCCGGAUUUAUUGGGCGUAAAGCGAGCGCAGGCGGUUAGAUAAGUCUGAAGUUAAAGGCUGUGGCUUAACCAUAGUACGCUUUGGAAACUGUUUAACUUGAGUGCAAGAGGGGAGAGUGGAAUUCCAUGUGUAGCGGUGAAAUGCGUAGAUAUAUGGAGGAACACCGGUGGCGAAAGCGGCUCUCUGGCUUGUAACUGACGCUGAGGCUCGAAAGCGUGUGGAGCAAACAGGAUUAGAUACCCCCGUAGUCCCUGUCUCUUAUACA